rnacentral:rRNA from 1 species
UCAAGUGAAUAAGUGCAUCAGGUGGAUGCCUUGGCGAUGAUAGGCGACGAAGGACGUGUAAGCCUGCGAAAAGCGUGGGGGAGCUGGCAAUAAAGCUAUGAUCCCGCGAUGUCCGAAUGGGGAAACCCACUGCAUUCUGUGCAGUAUCCUAAGUUGAAUACAUAGACUUAGAGAAGCGAACCCGGAGAACUGAACCAUCUAAGUACCCGGAGGAAAAGAAAUCAACCGAGAUUCCGCAAGUAGUGGCGAGCGAACGCGGAGGAGCCUGUACGUAAUAACUGUCGAGAUAGAAGAACAAGCUGGGAAGCUUGACCAUAGUGGGUGAUAGUCCCGUAUUCGAAAUCUCAACGGUGGUACUAAGCGUACGAAAAGUAGGGCGGGACACGUGAAAUCCUGUCUGAAUAUGGGGGGACCAUCCUCCAAGGCUAAAUACUCAUCAUCGACCGAUAGUGAACCAGUACCGUGAGGGAAAGGCGAAAAGAACCCCGGGAGGGGAGUGAAAUAGAACCUGAAACCUGAUGCAUACAAACAGUGGGAGCACCCUUGUGGUGUGACUGCGUACCUUUUGUAUAAUGGGUCAACGACUUACAUUCAGUAGCGAGCUUAACCGAAUAGGGGAGGCGUAGGGAAACCGAGUCUUAAUAGGGCGAACAGUUGCUGGGUGUAGACCCGAAACCGAGUGAUCUAUCCAUGGCCAGGUUGAAGGUGCCGUAACAGGUACUGGAGGACCGAACCCACGCAUGUUGCAAAAUGCGGGGAUGAGCUGUGGAUAGGGGUGAAAGGCUAAACAAACUCGGAGAUAGCUGGUUCUCCCCGAAAACUAUUUAGGUAGUGCCUCGAGCAAGACACUGAUGGGGGUAAAGCACUGUUAUGGCUAGGGGGUUAUUGCAACUUACCAACCCAUGGCAAACUAAGAAUACCAUCAAGUGGUUCCUCGGGAGACAGACAGCGGGUGCUAACGUCCGUUGUCAAGAGGGAAACAACCCAGACCGCCAGCUAAGGUCCCAAAUGAUAGAUUAAGUGGUAAACGAAGUGGGAAGGCCCAGACAGCCAGGAUGUUGGCUUAGAAGCAGCCAUCAUUUAAAGAAAGCGUAAUAGCUCACUGGUCGAGUCGUCCUGCGCGGAAGAUGUAACGGGGCUCAAAUCUAUAACCGAAGCUGCGGAUGCCGGUUUACCGGCAUGGUAGGGGAGCGUUCUGUAGGCCGAUGAAGGUGCAUUGUAAAGUGUGCUGGAGGUAUCAGAAGUGCGAAUGUUGACAUGAGUAGCGAUAAAGCGGGUGAAAAGCCCGCUCGCCGAAAGCCCAAGGUUUCCUACGCAACGUUCAUCGGCGUAGGGUGAGUCGGCCCCUAAGGCGAGGCAGAAAUGCGUAGUCGAUGGGAAACAGGUUAAUAUUCCUGUACUUGAUUCAAAUGCGAUGUGGGGACGGAGAAGGUUAGGUUAGCAAGCUGUUGGAAUAGCUUGUUUAAGCCGGUAGGUGGAAGACUUAGGCAAAUCCGGGUCUUCUUAACACCGAGAAGUGACGACGAGUGUCUACGGACAUGAAGUAACCGAUACCACGCUUCCAGGAAAAGCCACUAAGCUUCAGUUUGAAUUGAACCGUACCGCAAACCGACACAGGUGGGCAGGAUGAGAAUUCUAAGGCGCUUGAGAGAACUCGGGAGAAGGAACUCGGCAAAUUGAUACCGUAACUUCGGGAGAAGGUAUGCCCUCUAAGGUUAAGGACUUGCUCCGUAAGCCCUGGAGGGUCGCAGAGAAUAGGUGGCUGCGACUGUUUAUUAAAAACACAGCACUCUGCUAACACGAAAGUGGACGUAUAGGGUGUGACGCCUGCCCGGUGCUGGAAGGUUAAUUGAAGAUGUGAGAGCAUCGGAUCGAAGCCCCAGUAAACGGCGGCCGUAACUAUAACGGUCCUAAGGUAGCGAAAUUCCUUGUCGGGU